rnacentral:rRNA from 1 species
AUUGAACGCUGGCGGCAUGCCUUACACAUGCAAGUCGAACGGCAGCACGGGAGCAAUCCUGGUGGCGAGUGGCGAACGGGUGAGUAAAGUAUCGGAACGUGCCCAGUCGUGGGGGAUAACGUAGCGAAAGUUACGCUAAUACCGCAUACGAUCUAUGGAUGAAAGCGGGGGAUCGCAAGACCUCGCGCGAUUGGAGCGGCCGAUAUCAGGUUAGGUAGUUGGGGGGGUAAAGGCUCACCAAGACGAUGAUCAGUAGGUGGUCUGAGAGGAUGAUCAGCCACACUGGAACUGAAACACGGUCCAGACUCCUACGGGAGGCAGCAGUGGGGAAUCUUGCGCAAUGGACGAAAGUCUGACGCAGCCACGCCGCGUGAGUGAAGAAGGCCUUCGGGUUGUAAAGCUCUGUCGGAUGGGACGAAAAACACUAAGUUUAAGAGAUGUAGUGUCUGACGGUACCAUCAAAGGAAGCACCGGCUAACUCUGUGCCAGCCGCCGCAGUAA